UACGUAGGGUGCGAGCGUUAAUCGGAAUUACUGGGCGUAAAGCGUGCGCAGGCGGCUUUGCAAGACAGAUGUGAAAUCCCCGGGCUCAACCUGGGAACUGCAUUUGUGACUGCAAGGCUAGAGUACGGCAGAGGGGGAUGGAAUUCCGCGUGUAGCAGUGAAAUGCGUAGAUAUGCGGAGGAACACCAAUGGCGAAGGCAAUCCCCUGGGCCUGUUCUGACGCUCAUGCACGAAAGCGUGGGGAGCAAACAGG
rnacentral:rRNA from 1 species